CUGCCCACCUCGUCCUCUCAAAGUGCUGGGAUUACAGGUGUGAGCCACUGCGCCCAGCCUAAGGCAGUAGUAGAGUUUUUAUAAGGAAUGCAGAGGCACAGAAAAUGAAUGUAACUAGUAGGGAUCUCAGGUAUGGAGGCAAGCUGGUGAAUAAAAUAGUUUUAGUUUGGAGGCUAUUCUGAAAGUUCUCCAGGCAAGCCACAGAGGUAUCUACUCCAUUUGUAAAAGGUAUCAACUUUGGACAUUCAAAUGACAUCGAAAUAAGGCAUUUUGUUUUUCUCUGGACACUACUCUCUUACGAAUUGGAAACUAAGCAAAAUUUAUAAUUUUUUUUUCACUAGCUUCUUUUCAUGUGGAAAAAUAACGCUGGUUUCUUUAUCCUUGGAAAAUAAGUAAUGCUAAGACCACCUAAAAUAGAAGCUGCCAUUUCAAUUUUUAGAGUAGGAAUGGAAUUUCCUUUGUGAACUCUUGCUUGCUGUACAUAAAACCAAGAAAAAGCAGAAGGGAAAGAGACCUUCUUUUGGAAUCUGUAAUAGAACCCCCAAAUUUGUAUGAAUCUUUUUUACAUGUAGAACUCUGUUGGGAGACAUUCUCCAAAGAUCAAGAAUAUAGUCCUAUGGCAUUUGAAAGCUGAAAUUCAUAGGCAGGCUAAUAAUCAUUGGAAAGGUUUUCUAUUUAGGAAAACUUUUCUAUUUAGUCAGAGGAUGGUUGAUUUUUAAGACUUUAAAAGGAAUCAAUUUGUUUCUUUACAUAUAGACCUUUAUGUCAAUAAAUGAUGUAUGUAUUUCACUAAUCCCCAAUAAAAAUGAGCAGUAGACUUUUCUUUAGUUAUAGGUAGAGUUUCUACAGGAACUAGUUCUAACUUUAGUGUGUGUCCUCCUAGUGAAAAUUCACUUUCACUGUAUUUUUUCCCUGAAUGCCCCUCCUUUUCUCAAGCAUGGAAAGGCAUGGCAUAGAAUUGCUGAAGGAAAGAUUCUCUAGCAGUAGAAUAAGAAACUUUUAAGAUAAUACAAAAGAUAUAAAAUAAACUGUACCUUGCUUAUAGGUAAUAGUCUCUAACCUGUCACCUGAAAUAGAGGUGUGUACAGAACCUUUGGUUAACCACCAGGCAAUUUUUGGAAGUCAGUACACAUAUUCCACUCUUUGGGGUAAGUGGAUCGCUACUGACUUUCUACAUAUUUAGCUGGCAUCUACCUUAUGACUCCAGAGGUAAUGCAAUAAGAGAUAGCAACUGCAGCCAAUAAGUAUUUUGCCUGGAAUUCUGUAAUUACAAUCAUAUGUUGCUUAGUGAGAGAGACAUGUUCUGAAAAAUGUCAUUAGGCAUUUUCGUGCUAGUGUGAACCUUAUAGAGCGUACUUACACAAACCUAGAUGGUGUAGCCUACUACACACCUAGGCUAUAUGGUGUAGCCUACUGCUCGUAGAUGACAAACCUGUACAGCAGGUUACUGUACUGAAAACAGUAAGCAAUUGUAACACAAUGGAAAUAAUUUGUGUAUCUAAACAUAUCUAAGCAUAAAAAGGUACAGUAAAAAAUACCAUAUUAGAAUCUUAUGGGACCAUGUUGUAUAUGUGGUCUGCCAUCCAGAUAUAUUUUAAACAUUUUGUCUAUAUAUAAUUGUAUUAAUAAAGAGUACAGAGUAUUGUUCCAUGUAUCUUUAAAAUUUGCAUAAAUAGUGUCCUACUUCAUAUACAUUUUUUAACUUGCUAUUUUCCACUCAAAAUUGUUCGAGAUAUAUCUAUGUUGAUUUAUGUAAGUGAAAGUAAUUAGCUCAUGUAUGUUGAUAUAUGAUGUUCUGUAGUAAGAAUAAACCAAUUUAUUUACUCAUUCCCUUCCUUUAGACAAUGUUAUUCUUUGAAAAACUGCCACAGUGAAAACCCCUGUACAUUUUUCUGUCUAGUCAUAUGAGAGAGUUUCUAUAAAGCAUAUAACUACAUAUGGCCUUGCUGGAUCAUAAGGUGUAUAUAUAUAUGUUCCGUUUUAUUAGGUGGAGUAGAAACUGCUGGUUGCCAACCCUAAAACCCAUGCUCACUUAAUUUUUUUAAUUGGAUACAUGGAUAUCUGGAAGAGAUAUUUCUUAUCCUCCCUUGCUUCUGAGUGUGACCAUUUAACUAAAGUUUGGCUAAUGAUAUUUAAAUGUAAGUGUUUGUGUGGCAGUUUUCAGAAUAUUUCCUUAAAAGCAAGCUUGCAUAUAUCCACUGUCCCUUCUUUCUCUUUGUUCCUUUCUUCUUUACUGGUAUCAGCAAUAUAGAUGUGAGGACUGGAGGUCUAGGGGCCAUCUCGGACUAUGAGAAUAGAGAUGCCACUGUGGGGAUGUCAGACUAGAAGAAAUUUGGGUACCUUCUUGGAGCUACCUUACCAGUAACAAACUUCAUUUCUUGACACUUUAUUGGAGAAAUAUGAACAUAUUUUAUAUAGAAGCACCUGUUUUUUUGUAUUUUCUGUCACAGCCAGGUGUAAUUCUAACUGAUGCAGUAAUACUACAAAUUAGUUUUCAAAUGGUUAUACCUUUUAAUACCCCAGCAAAACAUAAAUGACUUUGUAAUUAUUGAAUAUUAUUUUAUAAUUGGUAAAAGCAUUUAACCAUGUCUCACUUUUAUACAGUGUGAGAAAGAACAAGUAUAUGAGAUCCCCACUCUGCAGCUCAGAGGGGUGGAGCCCAGGGAGGUUCAAUGAAUUGACCAAGGUCCCAGUAAUUUAGUGCAAGGUAAUAAGUAAAGGUUAUCGAGAAUAAAUAUGGUGUCUCACAGACAAAUGCCACAUGCUCCUGUGGGCUCUAAGCAAAGGGGUAUUGUCUUGAGUGUGAUCUAGUUACUCCGACAAAUCUUACCUGUUCUAUUCUCAAUUAAUUUGUAUAACAUCGUGAUUAAAGUCUCUCUUUAGCUGUCCUUUUGCUAAGGAGGAGCAUAUUGAGUUGCAUGCUAGAAUUCCCACUUCGGGCAUUGGCUCAGACUUGGGAGAGUCAUGCCAGCACAAGAAGCUAAUUGGUUUACAGAGAAGGGAGGGGGAAGUAUACAUUUAUCAGAGGGCACCGGCCAAUUGCCUGGUCUCUUGGCAAUGCUUGCCAGCCAAUUUCCAGACUGAAGUUGGCAUUCGAUCUGAAAAGUCACUGAUCUCCAUGCACAGCUGGAGGGUACAGGGCUAAAGAAGCAGAAUUUGAAAAGGAGGAGAAAGCUGAGACCUAAUCCUAAUUUUAAUUUACUUUUUUCCUCUUUUUUUUUUUAAUAUUGGGUGACUUUGAGAAAAUGGAAUGGUAUUAGAAUAUUUAGACUGCUAGGCAGGGUGGGAGAGGCUGUGCUGAGGGAGCUUCUGAGGAUGGAAGGAAGUUUCCUGGGAAAUGUCCAGAAGUGGUUGUGGAGUGGCACUUGAAAUGGCCUGAAUUGUGCUCCUGGCUGCUGUGCCUCCAGAAGGCUCUGUAAGAACAUCUGAGUGUAUACACUCAUCACAGGGCACUUUGGGGUUUAGUUGAUGUCAAGGCUGAGGGAUUCCAUCUCCUGCUAAUAAGAUGUUUACCACUACUACCUUCUUUUGUCACCCCUUAGGUCAGUGCACAAACAGCCCUUGAGUAGAGAAGCGUGUUUGGUCUAGGUACAUGAAAAGAGGGGACUGUGAAGGAAGAAGAGAGACAAACAAUUCAGUGUAUUUUGGCAUCCUAUGAACUGAACCCCAAGUCAAGCAAUCUUAAGAAUAUUCUCUUUAAAAACUUCUACCAAAUAUGUUUUCAACUAAUGUGGGAAAUUAAACUGCUAAAUUCUAAAUCUAUUCUCAACAUCACUAAAAAUUAUAAAUAGGGGAGAAUAACCUAUAUAAAUUAAGCUAUCUGUGCUAGAGGAUGCAAUUCAGUUCAUAUAUGCCCAACAAAUGCCAGCAAAUUUUCCAAACCAGAAUUUAACAAUCUGUGCUUGAUGUAGGAGGGCAACAUACAUACUUAAUAAAAAUUUAAAAUCCAGGCCUCAGGGCUCAACAAAAUUCAGUUCCUGCCUACUGAAUUUCUCAUUGCAAAUAAUAUACUGCAUGAAAAGCUCAAAGAACUAGAAUUUCUACUGAAAUUAGACAGACUCUUACUCCAUUUAAUCAACUGAUAUGAAAUGCUUGGCUCUGGGUGACCCCAUAAAGGCUCUGUUUUUAUUUGAUUCUGCUGCCUCCUACUGAUGAGGAGAACAUGUGGAAAGACGGGGGACUGUGCCAUGAGAAGCAUGGUUCAUGCCAUUGUUAUUCUCACCAGCUAAGGAUUCUGGAUACCUAAUUUCUAGUUACUGUAUUACCUCUAACUAGUUCUGAAAUUGUGGGUGACCUUUUUGCCUCAGUCCCUUCUGGUGCAAAAUCGGAGAAUGGAAGAUGUUCUCUAAUCAAGUCCAGCUUUAGUGGUCUGUGAUUAUCUCACAGUUCUCUCCACUGAUUCGAGUUGCUCCUAACAAAAGGAUAAUACAACAGUGUGGUAAAGACUUUUUUAGUGCUUAGCCAAGUCUGGUUCUCUGCUCCUUCCUGGAUCCACUGCAGUUAGGUAGGGUCGUGUGACUCUCUCCGAUCAAUGGACAGUAAGUGUAAUGUCAGUCUGGGCGAAAGAGAACAGUGAGAUUUCCAUGGAUUCUGUUCCCUGCCAUAGAAACCUUGCAAGUUAAAUGUUGAGAUAGCAGAGUCUUAAGAUGGAAAUGAUAGGCUCCCUGACUUGAAAGCAUGCUACUGUGGCAAGCCAUUGGAUUUGCAAGGAACUUAGGAGGGUAAAAACUAAACAUGAAAAACUAAGUUAAAUUUUUAACUCCAACACUUCCUGGUCUAUAUACGACAAAUACAUAGCAUUGCUGCAAACACAGAUGUGGCUCACCCAGAAGAACCCACUUAUUCCUCUGAAAUGAUUAUUCACAGGCAAAGUCACACAAUACAUAACAUAGGGAGCAAGUGUUCCUGUGUUUACCUUUAAAAGAAGACCCAAGGAAUAAACACAGGCUAGAGAUGUUUAACAGAGUACACAAUAAUCACUCAACAAAUGCUUGUUUAAUGAAAUCAUACUAUAAAGUUUCCCCACUGGUGUGUUUGGUUGGGAAAAGGGUAUGUGCGGAGGGUGAACUUGUUGAAAGCAUCUCUAUAUCCUGAGCACCGUAGCACAUGGUCAUACUCAAGAAGUGUUUGUUAAAUUCAGAUGAAAUGAGUGAACACUUACAUGGUGAUGCGUAUAGUUGGCUUUGAAACUGACAAUAUUAGAAAUGGAUGUUGGUCUCAUUCCUGACUCAUAGCUUACACUUAAAAGUAGAAAAUACCUAAAUCUAUACACGUAUAUAAUUGCCAUCUACCAUUUAUUCAUUCAGUAAAUAUUUAUUGAGUACCUGCUUUGCCCAAAGUGUUAUGUUAAAGACUGGAGGACUGGAUAAAUCCUCAUUGAGUUUACAUUCUGGGGCAUGAGGGCUAGGUAAUGACAGGAACAGGGGGUGGUGGACACUACAUAAUUAUUUAAAUAAAAUCGUGGUAGGUAUGAUGGAGAAUUACAGGAUGAUUUGAGAGUAUGUGACUAGAGGACCGAGUUUCAACUAGUUGUCAAGGAGGGCUUUCAGUUUUAACACAGCUCAUUGUUCCUGUUAGGAUAAUUGGGUAACUCCAAGACUUGGCUGGAUUCUUUAGCCCACAUGUGAAAUCUUGCAACUGUGGCACUGCUUUCAACCAUAGUGGUAGCUAAUGUCAAGGGAAGGCAGACGCUUUUUCCAGUAUUGCUUGAGUUUUGAUAUAGGAACAUUAGUCAGGUACCCUAAAUAUUGCAGGACUUUGGCUUUGAAAAAUAGAAAAUGGAAGGAAAGUAAUUCUGUCCUUUUUUUUUUUUUUUUUUAAAUCUGUACCAAGUUUUGUAAGUGGUUUUAACAUUCUAAUGUGGAGUCCCUCCUUAAGGAGGAGAAACUAUUAUUUGCAGAUGAGAAAACUGAGACAUGGUGGGGUAAGCAACAUACCCAGUCACAGUGAAUGAAUGCCCGGGCAAAAAAUUGGAAGCCAAUCAACUUGGCUCCAGAAUGACAGCAUUUAACUCCUGCUUUACACUGCACUGCCUCUCCAAAUGCUGGAUGCUACCAGAACAGAGCCACCUACGUUAGGGGAUCAAGUUCCAAGGUUAAUGUACAACCCAUUAGCAAAAUUACCUUGGAAGAUUCUUAAGAAGGUUUCUAAAUAAAUAUAACGUGGUAUUUUUUUUUCUGACAGCUCGGAACAUGUUGCUAAAGAGCAGUUCUGUGGGCAGCCUUGGACUGAUCCAAUUUUUCCCCUUUUUUGCUUGCGGUUCUCAGAAUAACUCUAGAAUGUGGUGAGAAUGCAAUGUCCUGAGAUAGGAAGAGACCAACCAGAUAGCCUGGACUCUGUUCUAGUCCCCUCUCCUCUAAGACACAGAAUGUCCAUUACAAUGCUUUAGCCCAGUGAAUCACGUGGACCCAGGGUAUAAAACCCAGAGUGGGCUGCGUUCUGUGGUCCUUCAGCUGCUGUGCAAGUGGGGCACCUGCAGACAAGACAUUUGUUCUGGAUAGUGUUUUCCCGAGUCUUGGGUGACCAACUCAUCCUGAAUCCUAAGCUUCUGUUGUCUCUUGAUGUCUAUCUGUACGUAAUAAACUCACUUUGUGCUGUUUGUUGUAUAUGUGUGUGAUCUGUCUUGCUGGACUCAGACAAGUUAGUACCCAGUGCACAGGGAAACUGCUUCACAGAAGCUUAUAGGGGGAUAUUGUUAUGGUGAAUUACAGACCCUUUUAAAGGAAAGCAAAGUAUAUCCAUGAAAGUGGUUUCUCUCUUUUCAUAUAUUAUCUAAAUGAUUUUAUCUGCUAUGGAAAAUGAUAAACCAAUUAAGGUAUUUGAAAUUGUUACGAAUAUGACAUGGCCUAAAGAAUAUAUAUUUUUUUCUCUUCUACAAAUUGACUUCUCAGUGACUGAUAUCUGUCUGUCUGUCUAUCUGGCUAGCUAUCUACCUCCCUACCUACCUAUCUGUUUUGGUGUGUUUUAGGAUACAGUUGUUGUUUAAGACGUCCUGCUGACUGUAGUAGCAGCUUUUAUGCAGUCUCUUAUUUAUCACCCUCUUACCUACUGGCUGUGCCUAAGCUCUAGGUUUUGAUUGAGUUUGACUAACUUACCUCUACUGACUUGUAAUGGUCGUCUUAAUUUUUAAUUUGUAACUUUGGGGAAAAUGUCCGAAUUAUCUCACUGGGAUUUAUUUCACCAAAUAGUGUCCUGUUCACUAUUCACAUCCCUGUUGUUAGUUUCCUCUAAUAUGGGAACCAAUCUGACAUGGCCAAAGGUCUACACAACAGGAGAUAAGAAGAAGAAAUCCUCAUAGAUAGUUAGACAUAUUGAGAAUUAAAGAUAUUGGGUAUUAUUACUUAUUUUCUGACUGGUGUUGUCUUUUGUUUAGUUAAAAAGAUUUCCCUCCAAAUCACUUCUCAAACUGUGGGAACCAACUUGACAUGGCAAAAGGGUUGGACCACAAGAGAUAAAAAGAAAAAAUAUUCAUAGAUAAAGAUAUUGGAAGAGAAUGCAAACAGACAGAAUAUGUGAAAAUAUUUGCUAAGAUAUGCACUAAAAUGUUACUGUAAUUCUGAUUCAGGUUCAUUCUGGAAACAAUGAAGGCAAAAAAUAUAAAUAAAAUACCAACUAUUAUUUGGAGGCAAAAAGUAACAAUUCAAACAGUAUUUGAAAGAAAAAGUGAUACUGCUAUGGCAAGAGAAACCAAGAAGGAGGAGGGGAGAAAAACCCACAAACCUUCAAGGGCUGCCAUGCCUUCCUCUCAUGAUGUAGCUGGGAAAUGUACAAUUCAGGGCUGCUAAUGCAUGGAAUAAAUGGACAGUCUUGCUAACUCCUAU